UUAUACCCUCAUUAGCUUUUAUCGUUACACAUACAACUAAUAAAAUAUUUAAUUCCUAAAUUUAAAUUAGCGAAGAAAUCAGUAGGUAAUUAUCAGAAGAACAAAAAAUAAGACUAAUCAAAAGGCAUGAGAAAUCAAUAUAUAUAUUUUUUAUACUGUAAAAGAUUCAACUAUCAAAUAAUAUAUUAUUAUAUACAUUAAUCCUUACAAAAUUGUUUGUGAACUAAAGUGAAAAAUAUGCAAAGUUUAGGAAUUAGGGACUAAAAUAAAAAAAAGUGAAAAGAUUGAGACCCAAUGUGCAAAUAAUUCUUCAAAAAAUUAAUGUGGGUCCCACAAUCCUCCAAAAUAAGGAGGGAUCUUUGGUUCCAAAUUAGUGUAUAAAAAUAAAUAAAUAAAUUAUAAAUAAAUAAAAAAAUAUUGUGAGAGAGAGUGAGAGAGAGAAAUUAGUAUAUAAAUAUAAAUAAACAAAUAAAUAUUGUGAGAGAGUGUGAGAGAGAGAAAAAGAAAAAAAGAAAAAAAAGUGAGACCCAGAUGGCCCCCCAAACGGGCCAAACCCGGGGGAAAAAUUUUAGAAUUCACCAGAUAUAUUAGUGACGUGGCGUGACAAACCAAUCAAAUAACUCAUUUUAAAGAUAUAUGUUCCAUCAUGAUUGUAAAAAAAUAUUUUUAUUGUACUUUUGUUUAAAAAUAAGAAAUGUGAUUGGUUUGUUAUUGAUGACGUGGUGCAAGCGUGACAGUGUAGAACUUCUCAACCCGGGGAGCCCUUGUAUGUAGGGAUGUCAACGGGUCGGGUCUCCGUCGGGUUUUUAAAAACCGGAACCCAAACCUGAAAACUAAAUUAAAACCCGUACCCGUUGAAUGAAGAUCUAAAGGAUAAAAAUUAUUAAAUAUUUUGUAUAUUAUAUAAAUAAAUAAAAAUAAAGUAUGUAUAUAUAUAAUUUAUUUGGGUUCGGGUCGGGUUCGGGUUCGGGUCGGGUAAAUACAAAAUUCAUAUUCGUAUCCAUAUCCGUCGAGUUUUAUUUUCUAUACCCAUAACCGAAUCCAUACCCGUUUAGUUCGAAUAAACCCGCACUGUUCGGAUUCGGGUUCGGAUAAUAUUCCGGAUAUCCAUAUCCAUUGACAUCCCUACUUAUACGGAUUCUAAUUCAUGUAUUUAUAAAUUAUAAAUAUAAAUUUCUCCUGCUUUUCUCUGUCUCCCUAGCUUGAACUGAUUGGUGCAGUGAGGGAGUAGGUAUGGCUACAUUGCACAGUGAGGGAGUAGGUGUGGCUACAUUGCCAUUGCCACCUCAAGUAAAGGGCCUUUUUUUCAAUUUAGCCCCCGAAUAAAUUUUUUUUAAAAAAAUAACCUUGUCAAAAUUUAAUUUGCAAAAAUGAUCCUGGCCUUGCCACGCAUGUGCCACGUCAGCGCCACGCGGGCAGGGCUGGAGCCAGGUGUUAAGUUGAAUACGGUGAACCAUUCACCGUGUUUCACACGGUGUAUUUAUAUUCCUUUUCUUCUUUUUUAGGAAUGUCAACGGAUCGGGUACGGGUUGGGUUUGGAUCGGGUUUUUAAAAAUCAAAAAUCAAAUUCGAAAAUCAAAUUAAAAUCCGAACACGAAUCCGAGCCCGGCGUGUUUUAAAAAUCCGAGCCCGUGUGAAACACAGUGAAUCAUUCACCGUGUUCAACUUAACAUACUGGCCCCAGUUCUGCCAGCGUGGCGCUGACGUGGCGCCUGCGUAACAGGGCCAGGGCCAGGGCCAUUUUUGCAAAUUAAAUUUUGACAGGACUGUUUUGAAAAUAAAAUUUUUUCAGGAGGCCAUUUCUAAAAAAAG
rnacentral:lncRNA from 1 species